GUCACCACCACUUCCACAUUUUUUCGUUGUCACCAUUGCAACCCCCUUGCCGCCGUCACCACCGCAACCACCUCCGCUGCCGCCACCGCCACCACUCACCCCAUUCCCGUCGCGUCACCACCUCCGUCGCUGUUUCAGGCGAGUCCAUCUCCAAAAUUACCACCACACCCACCAACCGGGCACAAGACGAACCCCCACCUUCAACCUCCAUCUUCAUCCACCGCUCCGAAACCAACACCAGCAGCCGUCAUCACCAACAACCCACUAACAUCCAAAAUCGGUAUGUACAUUCCUAAAUCUAGGCCCAGACUUGCAAGUUCAAUACCAUCAAAGAGUGCUACCAGCUCUAGCUACUGCAAUGGACGGCUUUAA
rnacentral:lncRNA from 1 species